rnacentral:rRNA from 1 species
GACGAACGCUGGCGGCGUGCUUAACACAUGCAAGUCGAACGGAAAGGCCCUGCUUUUGUGGGGUGCUCGAGUGGCGAACGGGUGAGUAACACGUGAGUAACCUGCCCUUGACUUUGGGAUAACUUCAGGAAACUGGGGCUAAUACCGGAUAGGAGCUCCUGCUGCAUGGUGGGGGUUGGAAAGUUUCGGCGGUUGGGGAUGGACUCGCGGCUUAUCAGCUUGUUGGUGGGGUAGUGGCUUACCAAGGCUUUGACGGGUAGCCGGCCUGGGAGGGUGACCGGCCCCAAUGGGCCUUGGAUACCGCCCAGACUCCUACGGGAGGCAGCAGUGGGGAAUAUUGCACAAUGGGCGGAAGCCUGAUGCAGCAACGCCGCGUGCGGGAUGACGGCCUUCGGGUUGUAAACCGCUUUCGCCUGUGACGAAGCGUGAGUGACGGUAAUGGGUAAAGAAGCACCGGCUAACUACGUG